rnacentral:rRNA from 1 species
UACGAGAGCUUCAAGCGUUAUCCGGAAUCACUGGGCGUAAAGGGUGCGUAGACGGUAUGUUAAGUUCGUUGUUAAAGGCUCCGGCCUAACCGGAGUAUUGCGAUGAAAACUGGCAAGCUAGAGGGUGAGAGAGAGAAGUGGAAUUCCCGGAGUAGCGGUAAAAUGCGUGGAUCUCGGGAGGAACACCAAUGGCGAAGGCAGCUUCUUGGCUCAUUCCUGACGUUGAGGCACGAAAGCGUGGGGAGCAAACAGG